rnacentral:rRNA from 1 species
CCUACGGGGGGCAGCAGUGGGGAAUAUUGCACAAUGGGGGAAACCCUGAUGCAGCAACGCCGCGUGAGCGAAGAAGGCCUUCGGGUCGUAAAGCUCUGUCCUAAGGGAAGAAGCAUGACGGUACCUUAGGAGGAAGCCCCGGCUAACUACGUGCCAGCAGCCGGGGUAAUACGUAGGGGGCGAGCGUUAUCCGGACUCACUGGGCGUAAAGGGUGCGUAGGCGGCCAAUUAAGCAAGAGGUGAAAGGCUACGGCCCAACCGUAGUAAGCCUUGGAACUGGAUGGAUUGAGUGCCGGAGAGGGGAGUUGAAUUCCGAGUGUAGCGGUGAAAUGCGUAGAUAUUAGGAGGAUCGCCAGUGGCGAAGGCGACUCUCUGGACUGUAACUGACGCUGAGGCACGAAAGCGUGGGGAGCAAACAGGAUUAGAUACCCCGGUAGUC